rnacentral:lncRNA from 1 species
UUCCUGCAUCUGUUGAAUCUCAAGUGUCUUCAGCUUAAAAUAACCUUUAUGACAAAGUGGCAUAUUUUAGGGUGUGUUUUCUGAUCCCCAUCAUUGUCUCCAGGGCAAAAUUGCCCCCAUAGCUGGAAACUGCUGUACUAAUUCAACUUUCUUUGCUUAGCUGAUUCUUUCCUUCCUUCAUUCAUUCAACAAAGACUGGCUGAGUUCCACCCUGUGUUGGGCAUUGUUGUGAGCAUCUGGGACACAACAGGGAGCAACAGACAAAUGUCCCUGCUCCUUGGAGCUUCCAUUCCAAUUGGCCAAGGGAGACACAUUUUAAAAAAGUGUCUAGGUAGAAGGGACAAAAUAUAAAGUGGGGCUGGGUGAAGGGGAAAGGAGGGCCAGGGUAGGACGUGGAUUGUCAUUUUUAAGGCCUCAUUGAGAAGAACAACUAAGCAGAGGUGUAAAGGAGGUGAGGGCAUCAGCCAUGCUGUUACCUAUUGGAAGAGUGGCCAAGAAGAGGGGCCAAGGGGACAGUCUACACAGACACUCUAGGGCUGGCCUAUGUCUCCUACGCUGAAGGAAGCUUGAUGUGGAGCCCAGAGCACCUGAAGCCAACCAAGGAAGGAAGAAAGAAAUAAGAAACGAGGUCAGAGGACAAGGUAGGACACGAUCACCAGGUCCCUGCAGGUCUUGAUGGGGAUGGUGAUUGCUCCUUGUCUACUUACCAGGUAAGGGCAAGAUGGUAGCAUUGGGGUGGUGAGAAGUGGUCAAAUUCUGGAUAUAUUUUGAAUAUAGAGCCAAUAGGUUUUGCUGAUAGACUGAGUUUGUUCCCUAACUCUGCCUGAGGGCAGAGAUGGUGUCUUUCUUGCUCAUCUUGCUGUGUGCCUACCACAAUUUCUGGUCCACAGAAUAACAUUUAAUAAAAAAUGGACAAAAGGGGGGAUAGAUAGGUGGAUAUAUGGGUGGAUGAUACAUGAAUGGAUAGAUGGGAAGAAUGUGUGGGUAGGAGGAUGGAUGGAUGGAUGGAUGAAUUAAUGAUUGGAUGGGUGAGUGGGUGUGUAAGUAGGUGAGUGGAUGGAGGAAUGAAUGGAUAGUUUGAUGGAUGAAUACAUGAAUGGGUGGAUGGGAUGAAUGUCUGGGUGGUUGGAUGGAUGGAUGGAUGAAUGAAUGGAUAGCUGGAUACUUUGAUGGAUGAAUACAUGGAUGGGUGGAUAGGAUGAAUGCGUGGGUGGGUGGAUGGAUGAAUGAAUGGAUGGGUGGGUGGUUGUGGAGAUGGGUGAGUGGAUGGAUGGAUGAAUGAAAGGAUGAGUGGGUGGGUGUGAAAGUGGAUAGGUGGAUAGACAGAUGGAUGGGUGAAUAAGUGGAUAGGUAGGUGGGUGUGGAGGUGGGUAGGAGUGGGUGGAUGGAUGGGUGAAUGGACAUUAAGUGCUCUGAUUUGUUAUAAUCAUCAGAUAUUUUACAUAUGAAGGUCCUUGACCACUGACAGGCACUUUUUAGUUAUUUAACAAAUGAAUGAAAACUUUUAACCUUUUUUUUUUUUUUUUUUUUGUGAGAUGGAAUCUAGCUCUAUUGCCCAGGCUGGAGUGCAGUGGCACAAUCUCGGCUCAACCUCCACCUUCCGUGUUCAAGUGAUUCCCCUGCCUGGGACUACAGGUGCCUACCACCACGCCCAACUAAUUUUUGUAUUUUUAGUAGAGAAGGGGUUUCACUGUGUUGGCCAGGCUGGUCUUGAAUUCCUGACCUCAUGAUCCUCCUGCCUUGGCCUCCCAAAGUGCUGGGAUUACAAGCGUGAGACACCGUACCCUGCUCAUUUUGUUUUUUAAAUAAAGAUGCUACUGAAUUUCACUCAUGAAAGAAGGAUGGAGAGGGACAUCAGUCAUUUUGUUUACAAAGGGGAGCCACUCCCCUCUGUGCCUGCAAAGAGCUUUCAUUCCCAGCAGAACACACAGGGGGCAGAGAAGGGCUGAGAGCCUUCCCCUUGCCAAUCAGCCAUGCAGCCAAUGCACAGUUGCUAACUUCAGCCUCAGUGCGAGUCCCUCGUGCCAGGUCAUCAGCCAGGCAGUGGAAAUAUCACCGUCAGGCCCAGGCUUCCUGCAAGUCCUGCUCCAGCAGUUAUGAAUAAGAGCAUCAGGGCUCAUUUUGGCUCAUAAAGGGAGCACAGUGAAAGAAAAAACCACUACUGCCUAUGAAAUCUAACAGAUACAAGGUACAAUUCUGGAGUAACAUGUUGCUACAGUUAAGCCUGCUUUGAGUAGAAAUGCUCACACCAUGGGCUCAAAAGAAUCAGGGCAGAGUUUGCCCUGCAACUCUCCCUGCAGCCACAAGGAUGCGGAUCACAGCCGUGAGCCACAGCCAUGGCUCCACGUCUCUGCCGGAGCGGCCUGGACAGACACACAACUUGGGAACACAAUGACUUGUCUCAAACGUGUGGAAAACUGCACUGCCUAUCCCAUGUCCUCUGAGCUAUCAGAUUGCAGCCUUGCCCAUUAUCUCCCAGCUAUUCUGAAACUCUUUGUGAAUUGUAGAUAAAAGGUGGAGACUACAAAGAGGUUUAGUAACACACCAGGUUGCACCCCUCACAAAGGAGGGCAGAUGCCCACCUCUCAUCACAGGCCCAUGCUGGGGCCAUGCACACAGAUUACCUGGAAUGACUGGCCCACAGAACCCAUCAUUGGAUCACAGGCCCAUGCUGGGGCCAUGCGCACAGAUUACCUGGAAUGACUGGCCCACAGACUCCAUCACUUGGGGGUGUUUGAUGAGAGAGACAAAGUGAGAAGGCGAGUUAAAUACGUUUUGAUGAAGAUAGACAGAGCUUCACUCUUGUUGCCCAGGCUGCAGUACAAUGGUGCGAUCUCAGUUCACCACAACCUCCGCCUCCCGGGUUCAAGUGAUUCUCCUGCUUCAGCCUCCUGAGUAGCUGGGAUUACAGAGCCUGACUUUCUCAUCGAAACCAUGGCUGCUUGGACCCAGGCUCUCCCCAUGAGGUAAUAAAUGUGCAAGCACUUUGCAGGGAAAAUAAGUGCCUGACACCUGACAUAAACACGUUUGUUUCCUUUUUAUUCUCAUCAUCAUCACCAUCAUCGUCAUCAAAACUACCUAAAAACACAAUGAUGGAGCAGUGGAGUGAAAAUGACAAGGUGUGUGUGUGUGUGUGUGUGUCUGUAUGUGUGUGUUGCCAUAGUUUCCGGAUAGCCUAUUAGUCUAUGUUAGUCUAUUCGUCGGCUUGGGCUGCCCAUAACAAAACACCACAGUCUGGGUGACUUAACCCAUUUCCCAUUUAGGGAAAAAAAAAAAAAUUGCAGCUUGCUGCCAGUGCAGUAUUCUUGGGGCAAAUGGGAAAUGGGUUAACAACAGAAAUUUAUUGUCUCCGUUUUAGAGGCUGGAAGUCUCAGAUCCAGGUGCCAGCUGAGAGGUGAGGGCUCUGUUGCUGGCUUACAGACAGCCACCUUCUUGCUGCAUGCUCAUGUGACCUCUUCUUUUUGUACCUACAGAGAGUGCCCAAGCUCCAGCAUCUCUUCUUCUAAGGACACUAAUUCCACUGGAUUAAUUCCACCCUUAUGAACUCAUUUAACGUUAAUGACCUUUUAUAGGCUGCAUCUCCAAACAUAGUCACAUGGGGGUUAGAGUUUAAACACACGACUUUGGGAGGGACACAAAUGGUGAAUACAGAGAGGACUGAGUUUGAUUCCCUAAGAAGCAGAAUCUAAAGUCUUGAGUUGUUGAAGGUGAAAGCACUGACACUAGAGGAAAGGACAGGAUGCGAGGGAGAAUGCAGGAGGAGAAGCCUGCUAAAUCUUUAGCAUAAAAAACACAGUCAGGAAGCUAGAAUUCAGAGGGAGACCCAUCCAUGCCAACCUCCAUGAUGUCAGGUGUAGCCUUUUGCUUAGUCAGAGAACUUGCCCCUACAGAAGGCUUAACUCCUGCACACGCACCACACAGUAGUAACAAGCCCCCAACACCUCACAGCAAAAAUCAUCAGUGAAGACAAAGGCAACAAGAAAUGCAAGAGCAGAGUCAUUUUUGGAGAAUGAUCUUGUCCAGGUCCAAUGAGAGAGGGAGUUGGGACAUGCCAGUAGAAACCAGAACUGUUAUUCUCACUCAUCUGCUGAGAUCCAAGGGUCUCAUUUCUUUUAGGGUUUUCCUGAAGGCAUCCAUUUUCAGCCUCAUAAUUUUUAGGCUCUGUCACAGCAGUUUAUGAGAGUAAUUAUGUUUAUCCUUUAUUUGGCUAAAACUAAUGAACCAAUGAUAAACAACUCAGCAUUUUCUUCUCUGUUGAAUAAUGAAUAUUAAUUAACCUGUCAAAAAAGGACUGGCACUCAUUACCAAAUAUAGCAUUGACUCAUUUGCAUGCCAAGGCAUGGAAAGGCUGCCACGGGUUUUGAAAGGUAAGUGUGUUCAGAUGCUGUCAGAGCACUUGCAUUGCCUAUGGAACCAGUUUGUGGUCUCAGCCACAGGAGCUACGAGGCACCGAGUUUUGGCCCCAAACACCUGACUGGAAUUUGAAUCUUCUGUUGGCAUCAUAGCCGCUCAUCAAACUUCUCAGUGGUUGAUUUGAAAAUGUCUGUGCUUGGAAAAUGUGCCACCAGCAAGCACCAGGAACUCGGCCAAGGGCAACUGCAGUGCCAUCUUUGGUGACAUAUGGUGGUAUCUGCAUUUUGAUAGAGCCAACAUAUGGAUUCUAGGCUUCUCCUCUUGGGAGGAAGGAUGGUGUGGUGAAGAAGGAGCUGUUGAUCCAUGAAUUGGGCAUCUGCAUAAACACAGUGUAUUUGGCCUGGGCAUUGAGUUGGCUUUAUUCUGAGCAUUCUUCAGGUGGCAUUUGGAAAGGCUGUAUCUCCCAUUAGAUAAGCAAUGGGCGGUUUGACCUGGCCAAAAGGGAGCAAUAAAAU